rnacentral:rRNA from 1 species
CACGUAGGGCGCAAGCGUUGUCCGGAAUUAUUGGGCGUAAAGAGCUCGUAGGCGGUUCGUCACGUCGGGAGUGAAAACUCGGAGCUUAACUCCGAGCCUGCUUCCGAUACGGGCAGACUAGAGGUAGGCAGGGGAGAGCGGAACUCCUGGUGUAGCGGUGGAAUGCGCAGAUAUCAGGAAGAACACCGGUGGCGAAGGCGGCUCUCUGGGCCUUACCUGACGCUGAGGAGCGAAAGCGUGGGUAGCGAACAGG